ACCACAUUUUCUUUAUUCAUUCAUCUGUUGAUUGACAUGUAGGCUGGUUCCAAGAUUUAGCUGUAUAAACAUAGGUUUGGCUGCUAUAAACAUAGGUAUGCAUGGAUCCCUGUAAUUCCCUUUAACUCUUUUGGGAAGAUUCCUAGAAGGGGAAUAGCUGGCCCAGCAGAGAGGAAGCAUCUUACUGUCACCCCCUGGAAAACCCUCUGAGGGGGAGACAGUGGGGACUCAACUCCCCAGGGUGGUGCUGGAGUCAUCAUUUCCAGGUGGUGAUGAACGUGAGCCUUUUGUGUAGCCAGAGUGGCCAAGAACUACCUUGGAGAGGAUGUGAAGAGCAUCGAUGUGAUUGGCCUGGAGGGCCCCCCAGCAGGGCCAGGUGGAAGAGACAGCCUUUCAGUCAGUCUGGCAUAGCCUCGCUCGAUGCACACAAGAAACCACAGGAACUGCUGCAGAUUCACAUAAAACUCCAGGCCAUCGGGCUCAGAACCUUCUCUCAAGGAUAAAGCACUCCUCACUAAGGAAGAGGUAAGCUGUCGAAUUUACUAAAGCUGUCAACUAGAACUAUGAUUCAAGGUGCUGAGCAAUUAACCAGCAAGUACACCUAGCCAGAACAGUCAACCGUAUAAAAAUUAUAAUCCAUUAUUAAGGUUUUCUCCAAGCAACAUGAGCAAGUGGAAGGUAAGAUCCAUGGUCUCCACAGCACCAUGUCAAAGAGGUUCCUACUUUCAAAUUUUCUAAAAUCACUAUUUCUUGUUUUCCUUUUUU
rnacentral:lncRNA from 1 species